rnacentral:rRNA from 1 species
GAAAGGUCUGCUAAUACCGGAUACCCUUUUAGUUAUGCGAAUAACUUUGAGGAAAGGUGGCCUCUUUUUAAAGCUACCGUAUAGGGAUGAGCCUGCGUACCAUUAGCUAGUAGGUGGGGUAACGGCCCACCUAGGCGACGAUGGUUAGCGGGUCUGAGAGGAUGAUCCGUCACACUGGAACUGGAACACGGACCAGACUCCUACGGGAGGCAGCAGUGAGGAAUAUUGCGCAAUGGGGGCAACCCUGACGCAGCGACGCCGCGUGAGUGAGGAAGGUUUUCGGGUCGUAAAGCUCUGUCAGAAGGGAAGAAGUGUUAUAUGGUUAAUACCCAUAUAAUUUGACGGUACCUUCAGAGGAAGCACCGGCUAACUCCGUGCCAGCAGCCGCGGUAAUACGGAGGGUGCGAGCGUUGUUCGGAAUUACUGGGCGUAAAGGGCGCGUAGGCGGCUUGAUAAGUCAGAUGUGAAAGUCCAUGGCUCAACUGUGGAAGUGCAUUUGAAACUGUCUGGCUUGAGUAUCGGAGGGGAGUGUGGAAUUCCCGGUGUA